rnacentral:lncRNA from 1 species
AGCUUCUCUUUUUCAGGCUGCACAACACCAAAUCUCUCAGCCUUUCCUCAAGGAGAGCUGCUCAUCCCUCUGAUCAUCCUGGUGGCUUCCUCUGCCUCACUCCAACAGCUCCAUGUCCUUCCUGUGCUGGGACAGCAGAUCUGGACACAGCUCUGCAGGUGGGGUCACACUGAGUGGGGCAGAGGGGCAGAAUCCUCCCUCACCUGGUGCCCACAGAAUUCAGCUUUCUUCCCUCUGGAGCCAGGACAGUGAGUGGGAUGUGCAAUAUUUCUCCUGGCUUGGACCAGCACCUCUGCAGGACAGGAGAGCAGGGCUGUCCCUGCUCCUCCUCCAAAGGGAAGAAACUUCCAGUUCUCAGGUCUUCCCAUUCUUUGGAGAGCACACCAUGCCUGAAGUGAUUGUGAAGAGCACAUCAAACAAACUAAAAAACAAGGGAUGA